rnacentral:rRNA from 1 species
GAUGAACGCUGGCGGCGUGCCUAACACAUGCAAGUCGAACGGAGAUUCCGGACGGAAGUUUUCGGAUGGAAGCCUGUAAUUCUUAGUGGCGGACGGGUGAGUAACGCGUGGGCAACCUGCCCUAUACAGGGGGAUAGCAGCUGGAAACGGCUGGUAAGACCGCAUAAGUCGGUUAAAUCGCAUGAUUUGAUCGGGAAAUGAGCAAUCAGGUAUAGGAUGUGCCGGCUUCCGUUUAGCCAGUUGGCAGGGUAAAAGCCUACCAAAGCGACGAUCGGUAGCCGGAAUGAGAGGGAGGAAGGACACAAUGGGACUGAGAAACGGCCCAAACUCCUACGGGAGGCAGCAGUGGGGGAUAUAGCAAAAUGGAGGAAACUAUGAUGCAGCGACGACGGGUGAGUGAAGAAGUAUUUCGGUAUGUAAAGCUCUAUCAGCAGGGAAGAUGAUGACGGUACCUGACUAAGAAGCCCCGGCUAACUACGUG